rnacentral:lncRNA from 1 species
CUUGGAGCUGGCUAAGAGUCUUAAUGGCCUUUGGAUUCAGACUGGAACUACACUGUUUGCUCUCCUGGGUCUCCAGCUUGCCAACUGCAGCUCUCGAGACUUCUCAGCUUCCAUAAUCAUGUGAGACAACCUCUUAUGAACAAAUACACUUGGAAGACCUCUGAGCUCAACACAGUGAGGACUUAAGCUCAGCCAAGCCUGCAGCUUGAAGCAGAACCACCCAGCUGCUCCCAGCCUGGAUCAGUGCAUCUGUAGUUGGUUGACCUGCAGACCCAUUAUCCUGAGAAUAAAUGCUUAUUGUCAUCUA